rnacentral:rRNA from 1 species
GAAUCUGGCUUCAGGUUCGGGACAACAGUUGGAAACGGCUGCUAAUACCGGAUGUGCCUUAGGGUGAAAGAUUUAUCACCUGAAGAUGAGCUCGCGUCUGAUUAGCUAGUAGGUGUGGUAAGAGCGCACCUAGGCGACGAUCAGUAGCUGGUCUGAGAGGAUGAUCAGCCACACUGGGACUGAGACACGGCCCAGACUCCUACGGGAGGCAGCAGUGGGGAAUUUUCCGCAAUGGGCGAAAGCCUGACGGAGCAAUACCGCGUGAGGGAGGAAGGCUCUUGGGUUGUAAACCUCUUUUCUCAGGGAAGAAUGAUGACGGUACCUGAGGAAUAAGCAUCGGCUAACUCCGUGCCAGCAGCCGCGGUAAUACGGAGGAUGCAAGCGUUAUCCGGAAUGAUUGGGCGUAAAGCGUCCGCAGGUGGCAAUGUAAGUCUGCUGUCAAAGCGUCUGGCUCAACCAGAUAAAGGCAGUGGAAACUACAUAGCUAGAGUAAGGUAGGGGUAGAGGGAAUUCCUGGUGUAGCGGUGAAAUGCGUAAAGAUCAGGAAGAACACCGGUGGCGAAAGCGCUCUGCUGGACCUUAACUGACACUGAGGGACGAAAGCUAGGGGAGCG